GUGUCAGCCGCCGCGGUAAGACGAACCGUGCGAACGUUAUUCGGAAUCAUUGGGCUUAAAGGGCGCGUAGGCGGCGGUGUAAGUUGGAAGUGAAAUCCCAUCGGCUCAACCGUGGAAUUGCUCCCAGUACUGCAUCGCUCGAGGGGGAUAGGGGUUUGCGGAACUACCGGUGGAGCGGUGAAAUGUGUUGAUAUCGGUGGGAACGCCAGUGGCGAAAGCGGCAAACUUGACCCUUCCUGACGCUGAGGCGCGAAAGCUAGGGGAGCAAACGGGAUUAGAAACCCGCGUAGUCC
rnacentral:rRNA from 1 species